CUGGAGGCCAAGAAAACACAUAUCUCAGACUCCAUUCCCCUGCAGAGCUCUGAUUUAUAUUGUACCAAAGAGAGGCUUUUGCACAAGAUUUAGGAGAAGCAACUAUCAUAAUGAUAAAUUGAAGAGAUCUGAAUUCAGCUGUGAACAAGAGAAACUGGACUUUCCUUAAAACAUAUGCAACUCUUCAGGACACUCUGGCUUGGUGCUUGCCUGCUUAUCAGACCCCAACAACCAGUGCAAAGACAAGUACAGUUUUCUGAGUGUUGUUGAUUGCAAACCUGGAUUCAUUGAAGGCAAACUUUCCAAAGGUUUGCUGUCUGGGAUGCUGUUGGAAAUCGGGUUUUGGAAUAUGACCAGGAAUGGAUCUGCAACAGAUUAGUGUUGAGAUGGCUGAGACGGGAAAAUGUCACCAUUCCCAGGUUGAGAGAAUCAAGAAACAACACUUGGAAGGAAGACCUUCUAAACUAAAAACUGAAAAGUGGGAAGGCAUCAGCCUGAGGACGCAGCACAUGAGUAUAAUGAAAGGCCCCUGCCCUAAACUGAAGUAAUGAGAAAGAAAUUGUGGAAUUCCAGCAAGCAGCGGAGAGGAGUCAGGAAGGCCCCCUCCCAUGUAAGGAUACUGUGAAAAGGUGACCACCUGCAAGCCUAGAAGAGGGCCCUCAUCAAGACCUGAACCUGCUGGC